AUUGAACGCUGGCGGCAUGCCUUACACAUGCAAGUCGAACGGUAACAGGUCUUCGGAUGCUGACGAGUGGCGAACGGGUGAGUAAUACAUCGGAACGUGCCCGAUCGUGGGGGAUAACGCAGCGAAAGCUGUGCUAAUACCGCAUACGAUCUACGGAUGAAAGCGGGGGAUCGCAAGACCUCGCGCGGACGGAGCGGCCGAUGGCAGAUUAGGUAGUUGGUGGGAUAAAAGCUUAUCAAGCCGACGAUCUGUAGCUGGUCUGAGAGGACGACCAGCCACACUGGGACUGAGACACGGCCCAGACUCCUACGGGAGGCAGCAGUGGGGAAUUUUGGACAAUGGGCGCAAGCCUGAUCCAGCCAUGCCGCGUGCAGGAUGAAGGCCUCGGUUGGUAAACGUAGCUUUGUACGGACGAAAAGACUCUCUCUAAUACAGGGGUGGAAGUGAGGUACCGUAAGAAUAAGAC
rnacentral:rRNA from 1 species